rnacentral:misc_RNA from 1 species
UAUAAUCCAAACCCAAGUUAUGGGGGUUCAAAAAAACGACGAAGCACUUCGAGAAAAGAUAGGUAGUGCUUUUCGUUUUUUUUUUUUUUUUUUUUUUUUUUUUUUUUUUUUUUUUUUUUUUUUUUUUUUUUUUUUUUUUUUUUUUUUUUUUUUUUUGGCUCUUUUUUUUUUUUUUUUUUUUUUUUUUAUGUCACUAGGUCGGCAAACAAGCGUACGGCUCACCUGAUGGUAAGCGAUUACCGUAGCUUAUAGACGCCUGCAACACCAGAAGCAUCGCAAGCGCGUUGCCGACCAAU